CCCAACGCAACCCAAUCCUCUCGUCCCGCACGCCGUGCACACUCCGGUCCCCUCAUCCUGCAUGAAACCUAGGAGAGAGAGAUAGGAAGAUGAGAGGGAGAGAAAGGGGAGAGGAGAGGAGAGGGAGGUCCGGCAGCGGACGGGAGAGGGUGACCGGCCAGCGUCGGCCUACACCGGCGAGGCGUCGGCCUGCGCCCCUCCUCGCGCACGAACCCUAGCUGAGAGACAAAAUGAGGGGGAGAGAGAGAAGGAAGGAGAGGAGGGAGAAAGAGAGAGGAAAGAGGAAAGGGAGGUGCGGCGGCUGACAGGAGAGAGGGUCAUCGGCCGGCGCUGGAGAGGACGGUCCCGACCUGGACGCGACUUGGAGGUUGGCGCCCUUUGUCCAUCCCCUCUAUCCCCACGAGCCGCCGCGCCCCUCCCUCUCCCCCUCAUCCUCUCACCGCAGCCGCCGGCCUUCUCUCCACUCGCCUCCUCCUCUCCUCUAUCACGUUGUCGUCGAUCCACCGCCGGCAUUCUCCUCAGCUUGCCUAGGUCAUCGUCAUGGGAGAGCAGCGACGGCGGUGUCUUCGCGGUGCGGAUGGGGAUGUAGGGGAGGGGUGGGGAUGUACGGGAAGGAGGAAGCCGGUGAGGAAGGCAAGCAACAGCGGGGAAUGAGCUAGGUGAGCGAUCCUAGCGGGUGGGAAGGGGCAGGUUGAGGCCUCGCGCACCUGCCAGCGGCAGGCAGGUCGAAUUGUCGCGCCACCGCGUCGUCGCCUCCUCUGCACCAUGAGGUGCCACCUCUGCCUCCACCCCCCACCGGGCAAGGAGCUCAAGGUGAAUAGGCGGUGGGAAGGUGAGAGGAAGCAGGAGCUCAUCUCUCCUCCAAUGGCUGCCUCGUGCAUCUGGAGGACAACACGUGCUUGUUGGAGGCGACUCGAGCGAUGCAGGUCAGCGGCGAACUAGUUGUGUCAAGUUUGCUGACAUCCUCGUGCUGCAACUGGCUUGGUAUAUUUGGUUAAUCGUAACCAGCAAAGAGGAGUCACAUACAUGCGCACCUGCCAGCGGCAGGCAGGUCGAAUUGUCGCGCCACCGCGUCGUCGCCUCCUCUGCACCAUGAGGUGCCACCUCUGCCUCCACCCCCCACCGGGCAAGGAGCUCGAGGUGAAUAGGCGGUGGGAAGGUGAGAGGAAGCAGGAGCUCAUCUCUCCUCCAAUGGCUGCCUCGUGCAUCUGGAGGACAACACGUGCUUGUUGGAGGCGACUCGAGCGAUGCAGGUCAGCGGCGAACUAGAUCUGACAUCGAAGACCACGUUCCUCAUAUUCAAAAGUGAUCUUCUUCCAAUGGCUCUAAUGGUAAUUUAUAACCUCUUUUGAUGUACCGCAGUUGUGUCAAGUUUGCUGACAUCCUCGUGCUGCAACUGGCUUGGUAUAUUUGGUUAAUCGUAACCAGCAAAGAGGAGGAGUCUCAUACAUGCCUGCUAUUCUUUAUGUGGUUGUAUGAAGUGUACCUUCAACUAAUCAAGCAACCUGGCAUUAGUAGUUUGUUUAAUUAAUAUCACUCUCAUCAGAGAGUAUGAUAUCAUUUAGCUAGCCUCCUUUCUUUGUAAGAGGGAUAGUGUAAAGGUUAGAAAUGGGUAACGGAAUGAGUGUUCUCAUUUUUACUGCCCCUGGAUUUAGGGAAUAUAUAUGCGUAUAUAUUGAUGCUCAUCGUUGCCAUGUCUGGCUCUUCAGGUGCAUGCUAGCUAGAAGUUCAGAUUUGUAAUCAACGAGUGUAAAAUUGAUUGUCUCUGGUUACUCUCGUGAUCUGUAUCUAGAGGGCAAGUCAGGUCUUGGAAUGCUGAGGUGAGACUUUCCAUGGCCUCUGUUUUUCUUGAUGGGUGGAUUACACAUUACUUCCUUGGAUGUUUAAAGAUUAUUAUAUCAUUGCUCCCCUUUUUAUCGGCAAGCAUUCUCUCAUCUUCUGGUAACUUGAGUAAGAUGCAACACACUAAUGCUUUCUUAGUCUGGUUUGUUGCAAAAAAUAAUUGAAGUGUGCAGACAGGCAGCAUGGAAACACUAAAGAGAAGUUUCAUACGUACUAAUAGCUGGAGUGAUUUGAUACCUGUAGUAACCGUCUUAGAAUAAAUAACAUUCAGCUAUUUCUAAAGAUAUUAGACCAUAAGAUUAUUCUUAAGUAAAGAUGUUUCAUGCUUCUGUUUCUGCAAAAUUUCUAAGAGUAUAUGAUUUCAUUUUCCUUCUUUCCCAGUUAUAAAUUUAUUGGCAUCAAAGUAGAGCUUCAGGUUUAUGGUUCAGUAUAUCAUUGCAAAGUAGUUUAUGGCUCAGUAUAUCACUACAGGUUCCUUACACUGUCAAAUUUCAAUGUUUUUGUAUUUUUGUCGAUGGAACCAUGUUCUUUGACUAUAAAGUAGCAGAGAUUUCUUUUCUAUCAAUUCUAAUCCCUUUUUAUGCAUUGCUGGUUUGCUAUCAAACUCUCAAAAAUGGAAAAACAACUUUACUUUGGUUUUUUGAGAACCUUCCUGUAGAGUACCUCGACAGAGACAAAUAUGCGGUCAAGGAUAUAUUCGAUGGAUUUUCAUGCCAAACUUGGAGGAUAUUUUUGCAGAUAGUUUGGUACUCUCGUGGUUAUUUUUGUGGUGAUUUGCCUUCUAUUCAUUACUUGGUAACCAUCUACUGCAGCUCAGCUAUUGUCCAGCUGCUAACCUUAUGGUGAGUGGUUGAUGGUGCAUGUUUUCCUAUUAGUUUCUCUCUAUGCCAAUGUCUGAAUUUUAUCUUGCCGUUUUGCAUUUCUACAGGCCUUUCAUUCUCAUUGUGAUUCCCCGAGAUGCGCUAUUAGUAGGCAUCCACUUUCUAAUAAAAAUUUGGAAGUCAACUUGAAAAGAGUCAUUUAUCUAGCUACAGCAACCUUCCUUGCUUUUGCAAAUAAUACUUUAUGGUUGACAAUAUAGUCUACACCUGCCAAACAUUUACACGUUAGUAUAACCAGAAAGUCAGAUGAUCGUUCCAUGUUGGUUAGCCGUGAUAAAUCAAAUUUCUAGAGUAGCAGAUGAUUCGUGUCAGGUUUCUUUUAGAGAUUGAAAUAUGUCUUGACUCCGAAAUAAGUAGUACAACGUCCAGUUCUGCAUAGGUGAAAGCAUACUGUGCAAAACCGGACAGCCUUCUAAAGCUCUGAAACUACUAUUUGUUUUUGUUUUUUGCGGUUAACUACUACUUGUUGUGUGAUCAGUACCCCCUUUUUAUACUCUGUAUAUGCUUUCUACUUACUAGGAAAAAAUGCGUGAGAACGAUGGCCUAGAGGAUGUGAAUUGCACUCGAAUAUAUGCAGGUUUCUUGCCAAACUAACUGCCACUAUUAUAUUUCAGGUGCUUCUUCUGUAACUUAGUGUAUUUUCCUGGCUCUUCUCAUUUCCUGGCGAACUUUUUAGUAUGUACAGUUGAAUCGUUGGAAGUUGUUUUCUACUAUCUAUAGAGGUUUUAUCCAAACUAUUAGCUGCCUGACUUGCUUUUUCGAAAUACACCGUCCUGAUAGACAUUUCCAUGGGAUGUUAGAAAAAUAUAUGUGAAUUUGCAUACAUUUUAUAAAUUCCUAUCUUUACUUAUCCAUGCUUCCCCAUAGAUAAAUAGCAGGUUCAACAAAAAUGAAUGUUCACUUUUGUUCAAAUUUCAAGAAAGUGUGCUUCACGCUUCUCUUUCUGCAAUAUGUUUCGGAGUGUAUGAUUUGAUUUUCCUACUUUCCCGGUUACAAUACUGUGUACUUCAUUCCUAGCUUUGCUUGAAAUAGGUAUGCAGGUUAUCGAAAGCUCCAUUUUUCUCCAUUAUAUAGAUUAUAUAGCUUUGUGAUCAAAGGUAGGUUGUCACACAGGGGAUUUGGCUUGUGAAAGUUAUAUACAUCCAUGAGUCCCUAACAAAAUAAUCGCAGCUCAUGUUAAAAGGAUCAGGGAACCUCGACCAUUUUUCUGAAACAUGUCUCAGCUCAUGUUCCGACUUUCUACACUACUAUGUACUUCAUUCUUACCUUUGCUUUUGGAAGUUACAUUCUUUCUUUUCCCUCGUAAACUUGCUAACGAUAUUGGCAAAGUAAUCCCCACUUCAUAUUUCCCAUUGAAUGAAUAACUAAUUUAGAUUGUUCAAAAAUUGUAGGUCAAGAGCCAUUAAUAGGAGCAGGGCAUCACACUCCAGCUCUGAGAAGUAAAGGAUACGAAGACAAAGAUAUAUGAGUGUUGUGCUCCGACGCAAAAACAUUUUGCGUGUAAUAAUGAACUGUAAUUUACCACAAUCUCUCUACAACAGGCCUACCUAUUACCAGUCCGUUGCUUGCUUUUGUAUUAGGAAGUAUGACUCAGUCAUAUAUAUUUACAUUCACGUUGUUUAGUUAUGGUUCGUAUGCAUGAACAUACCUUUUUAACCGAGCUUGAAAAUUCUUA